rnacentral:tRNA from 1 species
CAAUCCAGGCUCCCGCUGCUGUUAGCGUCCAUUAAGGGCAGGACGAAAAAGAUAGGUCGGGACGCAAUUCUCGA